GACACAUUUCAUUUACAUAUGUCACCUACACCUCAAUUAAGAGUCAAGAAGCCAUCUCUGAGAGUUGGGCAUGGUUAAAGUAGCAGUGCAUUGUCAAACUGUAACAGAAGCUUAUUCUGUGACUGAGUAAUAAAUCCAAUGAUAUCAUCAUGUAUCAAGAUGAGUACGCCAUAGCUAUUAGGUGAACUAUGUGCUAGUUCACAAUGAAUUUUUUUCAAUUACUAUGGGAUCAGUUAUUCAAUAUGAGGACAGUAAUCAGAACUAUUAAAUAUCAUACAUAUCAACAUGGGUCCCACAGUAAAAACAAUAUGGAGGAGAGCCACAGUAGAGCAGCUGUGGACAAGUGGCAUGAGUGAAAAGUAAGAGACAUGGCCUUCAACUAAACAGAACCACUUUGGAAUCCAGUGAAAAAAUAAAAGACAUAAAUAAUAUGUAGAAAGUAAUAAGGUGGCAGAAGAGCAAGUCUCAUACAAAUAAUCAGUUUUGUGAAAAGCAUCAGAUUAUUCAUUUGAAACACUGGAAGCCACAGGAGAGUGAACGAAUGCCUUGCAAAUCUUGACAGACUACUGUUUCCAACACUGAUGACUAUAUUCAUAUAAACUAUCCAUAAAAUGUGACAAAGAGAUGUAUUUUUAGGUAAUAUCUGAGAAACAAUGCACUUCUUAUGAACCAGGGAAAGCUUCUCAAAGAUGCAUUCCACCAAAAUAAUGUAACAAACCAAGAAACAGGAUGAAACACUGUUGUACAAUGAGAAAUUUGACCAUUAUUUCUGGUCCCUGGAGAAAGACUAAACCCUUGGAAUUUCCAAAGUGAGAGGAAGGUCUCUGUUAAUCAAGAACCCUUUAGAUCACACCUCAGUAAACAUUAAUAAGAUGAUGAGGACUAAGGGCUGGUCGAGAGAAAGGCCAACCAUCUGAUCAGAGGGUUAGGACUUUGAGCCAACCCAACCUCCAGGGAAGAUCAGCCAUGGGGCCCAUGAUUAAAUCAAUCGCACUUACAUAAUGAAAUCCCAAUAAAAAAUUUCUACAUCAAG